UAAUACAGAGGCCUCGAGCGUUAGGCGGAAUCACUGGGCUUAAAGCGUGUGUAGGCGGAUGUCUAAGUGCCUUGUGAAAUCCCACGGCUCAACCGUGGAACUGCUGGGCAUACUGGAUGUCUUGAGCGGUCUAGGGGCGAGCGGAACAGAUGGUGGAGCGGUGAAAUGCGUAGAUAUCAUCUGGAACGCCUAUGGUGAAAACAGCUCGCUGGGGACCUGCUGACGCUGAGACACGAAAGCCAGGGGAGCGAACGGGAUUAGAUACCCCGGUAGUCCUGGCCCUAAACGAUGUCCACUAGAUCGUAGGACCUCUGACGGUUUUACGGUCGAAGCAAAAGUGCUAAGUGGACCGCCUGGGAAGUACGGUCGCAAGGCUA
rnacentral:rRNA from 1 species